UCAUUGUUCUGGUGACCAAGGCAGCACCAAGUUCUCAAGGUGUUUAUAGAGUUUUCAAAGAAUUUUAAUAAACAGCAGUUUGUGAACUGACGUUUCCCUAAA